AGGAUGUGCAUUUAUGAUUGAGGAAAUCCAAGCUUCUCAGAAUAGAGACGUGACUUCCCAGAAUGGAGCUUUGGAGAUAGAGGAAGCCUGAAGAAUAAAAGAUUACAGAGCUGAAGGAGGAAGAGCUGUGAAGACCAAAAUGACAUCAGAAGGUUUGUGCUGGAGAAAACAUAUUGAUGACGAGUAAAAUGCAGAUGUUCAUUAAUUAG